GGAGGGGGCUAGCGUUGUUCGGAAUUACUGGGCGUAAAGCGUGCGUAGGCGGCCUUUCAAGUUGGGUGUGAAAGCCCGGGGCUCAACCCCGGAAAUGCGCCCAAGACUGUUUGGCUCGAGACCCGGAGAGGUGAGUGGAACUCCCAGUGUAGAGGUGAAAUUCGUAGAUAUUGGGAAGAACACCAGUGGCGAAGGCGGCUCACUGGACGGGUACUGACGCUGAGGCACGAAAGCGUGGGGAGCAAACAGGAUUAGAUACCCUGGUAGUCCACGCCGUAAACUAUGAGAGCUAGACGUUGGGGGGCUUGCCCCCCUGUGUCGCAGCUAACGCGUGAAGCUCUCCGCCUGGGGAGUACGGCCGCAAGGUUA
rnacentral:rRNA from 1 species